ACGCUCGACACCUACGGGAGGUAGCAGUGAGGAAUAUUGGUCAAUGGACGCAAGUCUGAACCAGCCAUGCCGCGUGCAGGAUGACGGCUCUAUGAGUUGUAAACUGCUUUUGUACGAGGGUAAACGCAGAUACGUGUAUCUGUCUGAAAGUAUCGUACGAAUAAGGAUCGGCUAACUCCGUGCCAGCAGCCGCGGUAAUCUGAGCGGGCUGGCAAGGC
rnacentral:rRNA from 1 species